AUGGAAAGUGACAGCGACCACAGUGCCAGUGCUAGCAACCGCUUGUUCGAGGUGGAGGACUUUUCUCCUCCGCCUGAUGCAGGGGAUAACUCGGUAGCACAGGGCCCAGAGCCGUAUCAGUUUGAGCCCAUGGCUCAAAAGCUGAGAGCAACGGUGGCGGCAUCGGUGUCCCUGGGUGACGGCAGCAUAGUGGAUAGCAGAGGCUCCCACAGAGUCAUAACAGGUCCUGAGCAGAGGUCUGCACACUGCGAAGGACCUCAGUCUCCUCAGAAGGUGGAGGCGGCUCUGGACCUUCUUGUGUUGUGCAACCAGUCCAGAUUGGAGCUGCAACACUGUGCAUCUUUUGACAAAUGGGGCGCUGGCACCUACGUUGAAGUGAAUUCAGGAACACGACCUGCUCUUUUUCCUGUGGUUCAGCGCACCUCUGGGACCGGAGACAAAGUGACUGUUGGCUGUCUUGUACAUGAUUUCAAUCCAAAAAGUACUUUUCAGUGGACUGAUGGGAACGGGAACGAUCUGACCUCAGAGCAAUACCCUCCAGCACAGAGAAAUAACACAUACACAGGAAUCAGUUUGAUCAAGGUAUCAAAACGCGACUGGAACUUAAAGAAGAGCUUUCAUUUCUCUGUUAAACAUGGUGAAAGCACGGAAAGUACUGUGGUAAAAAUGAUCUCUGAAGUGAAGAUAAAUCUGGUCUCAGUGGCGAGUGGAGAAGAUCAGAUGCUGGUGUGUUCCAUUCAGGAUAUCUAUCCACAAGAGUUGCAGGUCAAAUGGAAGAAAAACUCUCAUUAUUUGAGUCAGGAUAAUGAACUGACUAUACAAAAUAAUGGGGACAUAUACUCAGCUGUCAGUAUCCUCAAGGUCAGAAAUUCAGAAUGGAACUCUCAAAGUGUUUACAUGUGUGAGAUAACACACGAGGGGACAACACAAACAAAGGAGUUUUCCAAAGUCACAGUGGCGUUGAGCAGUUCAAAUCUCAAAGAGAUUCACGACAACAACCGGGCAGAGUAUGAGUGUGUCGUCUCGGGAAGGAACGACUCUGUCCUACGGAGUACGACCAUCAAGUGGCAGAUUGAUGGACGGGCGACCACGGACAACAUUGAGGAGAAAAAUGUUGCAAAUGGCAAAAGCAGCAAACUGACAAUGACCCUCACACAGUACAGCCAAGUCAGCAAAGUGAGCUGUUCUGCUGUGAGUGAAGACAUGACAUCGUCCACUCGAGAGCUGACUGUCCACAACGGAGAUGGCAGUGAGCCAAAAGUGACAGUCAUCAAGACAGACAUCAAUCAGGGAUCUUCAGCCGAGGUCACUCUGGUGUGUCUGGUCUCCAGUAGCGUGCUGCAGGAUUACUACAUCGCUUGGUCAGAAGAUGAUGGACAAAGCAGUGGAGAGUAUCAGGAUGGCUUCACGACCACUUCACAAAGAACCAAAAGUGGCUACUUGGUUACAAGUAUUUACACCACCACCAGGGAAAAGUGGAAGACUAACAUGUUCCACUGCAACGUAUGGACGCCCAAGUUCAACGUGACAAAAGGAGUGUCUGACGCAAUGGGUGAUCUUUCUGAGACGAGUUUUGUUCUGAGCUGCACCGAUCACGACCCCGAGGAUGAAAUCAGCAGCCUGUGGUCAACAACAUCCACAUUCAUAUUUCUUUUCAUCUUCUCUCUCUUCUAUAGCAUGAUAUUCAGUCUCAUCAAGAUGAAAGGACACUGAAGGCUGGGAUGGCUGAGGGUACAUUGAUUUCUAAUUUUUCAGAUAUUUUCAGAACAUCUUCCAUUUCUUUGCAUUUUUAAAGACUUCUGAAUGAUAUGUGUGCAUCAAUAACUAAUUAAACAACAUAGAAAUUACUUAUCUGAAUACUUUUCCUGGCAUUUUGUACUUUUUGUGUGUAUGUUUUCAGUAAUAACAUUGUUUCUUCUAUGAUUUUUCAGUAAUUCAACAGAUAAAUUCUGGGUCAAAAUCAUGAAAUAGAAUCAUUACUGACAGUUUUUAGUGAUAUCUCUUCCAAUAUUUUUCACAUGUGGAUUUGCAGUCAUGAGUAAAAUAAAUGUUAGACAACCACAUUCACAUUUAUUACCAUGAUUUAGACCAACGGAUUUGCAUUUCUGCCACGAUAUUUUACUUCUGUGAAAGAAAUUUAAAUUUUAUAUUUGUUCUAUUAAUUGUUCUACAUUGUCAUGAUUUAUUAAAUAGUGGUUGAAAUAGACUUCAUUGUUUGUCUGAAAUGCUUUAAACAUUGACAUUUUGUUAUGGGUAGAUAUAAUGAUACUGCAAUUCAAAGUGCGACAAAUUAAAAGAUGAGUAAUAAAAAGCA